rnacentral:lncRNA from 1 species
GAUGUGCAGGGCCAUGGAAUCCCGAUGACAGUGGCCAACAUCACCUACAUAGGCAUGAACGACCUCCAUGCUGUUGGCGGCCUUGGCACGCUACUGUUCUACCUUUAUCUCCUGGAGGUCAAGAUGGAUGUUGACAUUCCCAACACUGUUCAGGGUAAUUCAUUCAUUCAUGCCCCAUACUUGGCAUGCUAUUGUUCUAACUUUAUCUCCUGGAGGUCAAGAUGGAGGUCAAGGUGGAUCGGCAGGAGCUAGAAGUAAGGUUAUCUCCUUUUUCUUCCAUUCCGAAGAUGGUUGCCAUUUAUACAUUUCAAGUUAGUAGCUAUUCCAUUGUAUCACAAUAGAGAAGUAAUUUGGUUGCGUGAAAAACAUCUAGGUUUCUCACUGGAGCGGAACUCCUUUGCACGGAGUCUCAUAACGCAGACUCAUCCCUGAAAGCACUAUGACAGCACUCAGGUUCAAUCAUGUGUUGCCCCCUGAAGGUCGGUUGCGUGCUUGAUCAUCCUGUCACAUCACAUAUAUUCAUGUUGGCAUUGUGUGGGCCUAACAAAAAAUGCUUGGUUUGCUACAAUUUUAGGCUGCUCCUGUGUCCAGCCUUGCCAAUCAGGCCGGCCUCCACAUGCUGGAGGCGCCGCUGAUUGCUCUCCAGGUUCCCCAAGAUCAUGCAGCAGGUACUUAGCCAGCUACCAUUGUGAAUGAAUGGCAGACUCGCCCCCGGCUGUUUGUAACAAAACUGGAAGUUUGAAACUCUUGCUUUGUUCAUGGUUUGGCGUACCUACCCUGGCGGUGUGUGCGUGUUCUUGCAAAUAAGGUCUAUGGCCCAUUUACAUAUAUUUGAUGCUCUUAGAUGGACAUGAAAACACUUGCUUGUAGAUUUGGCGCCACUAUAUUUUAGGUCCAUGUUCUAACUGUCAAUAAUAUGGCACUACACUUGGUUUUAUCUCCUGUUUUUUAGAGUUCGAUGAAAAACUGCCACACCAAAGUUGGUUGCUUCUAGGUGCUAUUGUAUAGUGAAUGAUAACUGAUUUAUAGUCCUGAGAUGUUUAUUUGUGUUCUCUUCCCAAACAUAGCUACUGUUUUAAUUUUGAUUUGGUCGCUAUUAUGAUUGCUUAAGCUUCAUCAUGUUCCCUCUUCUUUUCAGAAAAAGAACAUUUAGCUUAUUCUUUGUGGUUGUCUAAUCUUCCAUAACCUCGGCUUGCGCAACCGUUGCAGUUGUCGUCACCUCUUCUUGGUUCAGGUGAGCCCUUGAUCUCCCUCCCUCUUUUUCACUGAGAUAGUCUGCCAAAUUUUGAAUGUUGAUUCAGUGUUCAGAUCUCCGGUGGUUUUCUUCUGGCCACCACAAUCAUGUGAGCUUGCUGGAUUUUUGUCCCUAUGAGCUGGCCGAAUUGAUUAUUUCAAAAUGGUAAGGAUUUUUGGCAGUCAAGGGCUUAGUUGGAUUGAAAAUGUGAAAUCUAAGCCCUUUGACAAAUUAAAUGUUGUCUCUCGACUAUGGAGCAAAAUUAUAUGAUUUGGUCUUUGUUUGUUAUCUUGUCACGUAGUUGGACGAAAUGGGAACUUCCCUAUCUGCUAAAUCGAGCACGCAUUGCAUUAGCUUCAUUGAGUAAGUGCCAUAUCGAGCGAAGCAGAGCAGGAGCUUGCUCUUGUCUUGGCGCUAUUUUUGGUACUGCUAUCGCGUCAUGUUUAUUUGGUUACGGUCACCAUUGAUGAACAGUUCAUCUACAGUUUGAAAUAAGUUCGGGUCAGAACACUGGUUUUUUUCCCUUGCAUUUUUGGUUCAAAAAGUACCAGUUUGAUUAGCUGCAGUUCGUAUUUGUACUAUAUAGAACACAUAUUAAUAAAUUAGCUCAAUGGAAUAAGCGCGUAACCAAGCUAAGGGUAGCAGGGCUUGCACUUGUCUUGUUGCUAUAUUUGGUACUGCGAUGGUGUCAUGUUCAGUUAGUUACUAUCACCAUCGAUCAACUAGAUUCCAUUUGCAUUUUGAAACUAGUUUUGAUAAAGAACACUGAUACCUGUAGUAUUUUUGGUUGAAAAAGCACCAGCAUGAUAGGGCAGUGGAGUUCUAAUUCUUGAGUGACACACUGUGACAGUGUGACCGCAUUAUGGAAUUUUUUUAACCUGUUAUGCCAAUGCCUCUUCACUGUUUGAUAUCUAACCGUGUACUUAUUUUGAUGUCCUUUGUAACAGAAUUUACCCAGAAAUGCCCUUUUAGCAUGGAAAAAUAAAUUUCAUUCUACGCUCUCAACUAUACAUGUAGUGAGAAUGAUGAACAUCUUUGUUCUUGUUGUUGUUGCCUACAGCACGUGCCACUUGGUCUGGUGCAGGGCAGGGUGAUGCAUGUGGCGUAGCUGCCCAGCAAGAUGGGCCUCGUCGACAAGAGGUGCAGGAAGGAACGAUCAUAUGGUCAUUGUUGUGAUUGCGGAUGCUCACCAAGAUCACAUCGCCCAAAGCAUGAAUUUCUGGACCUCACCAUCUAUUCCUCGGUCCAGGCAAGUUUGUGGUCUCCUCCUCCCCCCCUCUCUCUCUCUCNNNNNNNNNNNNNNNNNNNNNNNNNNNNNNNNNNNNNNNNNNNNNNNNNNNNNNNNNNNNNNCACACACACAGAGAUACACAUACACAUACGUGCACCCCUAGAUUGUCAGUCAUCUGAGUCGUGGUUGAUCGUGGUUCGGGCCAUCGAGCCAAUGAUUAGUGUUUGGAUCUACGGUGGCAUUCUUGUGUGACUGGUUGAUCAUCUUUCUUGUUGAUGAGACUGGUACCUUGUAUUUUUGUGCUGGGUCCUGUUUAGCACUUCAUGCUACACGGUUUGGUAAUGUCAUGCUUAGUUUUGAUAGAUAGGAUCCAUCCUUACUUAUUUUGGGAUUUUGACUUGUUGGUGGUUUGCUAGAAUCAAAUAGAAGAAAAUGCUUACUUGGUGUAGUGUGGCUGGUGCAUAGAUAGAUAGAACAAGUGCCAUCCUCGUGUACUUUUGAGGGAGCCAUCAUGUGUUGGCAAUAUUUAUGAUAAGUCGUGGAUGCUUUUGCCCAUGAAGAGUGGAUAUUAUUCUGGCUUUGGAACUACCUUUUUUAUCAGUCUAUUCAUGAUUGAGUCCAGACUUUUUUUUGGUUGUAUGAAAUGUUAGCCUGCAUUUGCUUAGGUUAGGACAACAUGUGUUUUGUGUUUUUCUGUAAACAAAUGUUUUGUGAUUUUUCAGAGUGAAUGUCUACUUGGGGUAACAACCUUCUUAACAAGAGCCUUUCUGGUCAAAUUCCACAAUCCUUGACAUAUUUGAUCUUGUAGGCGUCAAAAUUUUUGUGGCAUUGAGCCGUUAUACAAGUGCUGAGGUUAUUUGCAUUUUGUAAAAGCUAGCUUUUGGUUAUUUGUUAUGUUGCAUCGCUCUGCUGUUGGCUGAAAUGGUGUGUUGUGAGUGUCGUGUCCAAAGCAAAGCAAUUUGUCAAGUAGAGAGAAUAAUUUUUCUGGGCUGGCUUAUGAUCUUCGCCUAUACAAAGGGAUAGUGUAUUUGUUGGUUGGAAAAAGUGAUGCAUACCAUUGGUACUUUGCUUUUGUCAGGACCCCGACUCAAUGCCACAUCGAUCCAGCAUGUAACACUUCAUAUCACUUUGCGGCCUCACGCACGGUAUUCCCACGGGUGUCGCCUUACCUUUACCCGGGAUCGUUUGCGUCUUUUGGCACACGUAUAUGAUAAUGUCGCUAGCAUCCAUAUGAUAAGGAGCCCGGGCUGACAUGGCUAUUCGUAAACCCAAAGUGGCACAAACUUACAGGGACAGACAUCCAUGACCCAGCAUCGAACGUGUCGGUCAUCAGCGAGUGAAUCCAGGCUGUAGCACUGGGCUAGCAGGACUUCGGUGAACCAGGCUGUAGCGGGCUAACAGGACUCCGGUAUUCAUCGCGUGACAUUUCCCCGAAGGGACAGACACAGGAACGAAGAAGGACACAUGCCGGCCAGCCUAAGUGUUUCGGAGCAGUAGCAAGCUACCAUGGCUCGGUGGAAACACUAGGAGACAUUUCCCGGUAAGAGAGGCUACUAAAGAUAAACAACUAGAUAGUCAGAUCCCACACAUAUCAAGCAUUUCAAUAACAUACACACAAUAUGCUCGAUAUGUGCAAUACAACAUGGCAUCACAAAAUGACUCUACGACUCAAGUAGUUUAUUCAAUAGGCUUCGAGGAGCGAGACAUUACAAACAUGGGUCUCAUGACCCAACAAUCAGAGCAUACAAGUCAAAGCACAAGCGGAAGCUAUCAUGUCUGGGUACAGACAUCUAUAAAUGAAAAAGGCUGAGAAGCCUGACUAUCUAUCAGAUCCUGCCGAGGGCACAAGAUCGUAGCUGAGGUAACAAGCUAAACGUCGAAGUCCACGUGGAACUACUAGUGAGACUGAAGUCUCUCUGCAAAAACAUAAAAUAGGCAAACGUGAGUACAAAUGUACCCAGCAAGACUUACAUCAAAACUAACUACAUAUGCAUCAUUUUCAACAAGGGGAUGGUGGGGUUUAACUGCAGCAAGCCAGCUUUGACUCGGUGGCUAUCCUAAACUACGACUGCAAGCGACUCUUUUGAGGUGGCGCACACGAGUCCACAUAUUCACCAUAUCAAUACACCACUAUGGAUCCGCUCCCGUCUCCCUAUGAGAACGCCAUCCAUAGCACUCACGCUUAUCUUGCGUAUUUUAAAGUAUCCACUUUCACUUGUCUAUGAACUGAUAUAAACAACCAAGUAGUCCUUUACCGCGGACGCGACUAUUCGAAUAGAUCAUGAUAACCCUGCAGGGGUGUACUUCUUCAUACAUGUUUCCACCACUUAGCGUCUGCACACGACAUGUGCUCGGCAGACUUCAAGCUACCGCAACAAGUAACAGAUGAAUCGAUGUUGUCCUAAUGCAGUAAAAGAGAGCAGGAGCGAGAGAGUGGGAUUGUAUCGGAAUGAACAAGGGGGUUUUGCUUGCCUGGCACUUCUGAAGAUAAUAUUGAGUCUUCAUCAGUGUCAACGAUCACAUCAUCGGUAUCACGUCUAUCGAGAGGGGACAAAUACCGGCAACACAGAAGGGAACACAAUCAAUGCAAUGCACAAUAUGAUGCAUGAUCAUGACAUGGCAAAAUGAAUGUGUUUUGAGCCAAUGCAACUAGCAACAGAUUAAAUGAAGUUGGUUUGAAUACAAGAUUCAAAUUCAAACUCCAUAUGUGAUUAUUUAAAUGCCCUUUAUUUGAUUUGUGCUAAACAGCAACUAUAAGUUGUUCUAACAUGCAUGAAAAUGGUACAGAUGGAUUCCUUGAAUUUUACUGAUAAUUUUUCAUAUAUAAAUUAUUUAAUUUGGAGUUACGGUUGAAUUUCUAUGAAUUUUAGAAGUUUAUACAAUUUUCUGGAAUUUAUAAAUCAUUUCCUAAUUUAUUUUAAUUCCAGAAAGGAAUUAUUGCGUCAGCAUGACCUCAUCCUGACGUCAUCAGGUCAACAGGGCGGGUCCAGGUCAAACNNNNNNNNNNAGAUACCUGGUAUUUCUCUCCUUCCCCACUUUAAGCACAAAGAACAACUUCAGAGGCACAUUGUGCGCUUGCACUUAUUAUUUUUACUGUAUUGUCAGUUCGGUGUUUGUGAGAUAGGCAUUGCUAACUUGCAACUUGUGAACCGGUUUACUCCUUGUCUGUCUCUCUCGGCCCUUGUAUCUUGAUUUUACAUGUACCAGUAGACAUCACUUCUGUUAUUUAGAUACAAGUUUUGUGUUUGGACAUGUGAAUUUUCUCUCACUACUUGAAGGUUUCAUGUGGAAUUUCCGAGAGUACCAAACCAACUCCUAGUUUUUCACCCUUCUGUCAGUCCUUGUAUCUAAAUUAACUGCAACUAUUUUCUGCAAGGAACUGCAUUAAGCAAGAACACAAACCCCUGUCUCCACCACAUAUAUUUCUCAUUGUCAAAGGAAGGUCAUCUUUAGAAAUCUGAAGUCAUGGCUGCCUGUUAGGGUGUCUUUGGAUCCUAAGCAAUUGUAGUGUUAGCUUGCUUAGCAAGGAAAUCUGUUUGGUAAAAGCUAAACUAACCUGGCAAUUCCAUCUAGCCUGCACACGCUAGAAAAGCCUUGCCCCAGCAGGAGGGCCAAUUUGGCUCUCCGUUGGUAAUAAAUGAGUGGAAGAAAGAAAUCAAGGUAACUGCCACUGGAAUUGUGCUUAACCAAGGAGAUUGGUAGCUGAACCAAAUAGCUGGCUUUGCCCACGUAGGCUGUAGCUCAAAAGCCUUGGUUAGCUCGGCAUUGACGGCAAAAGAUAUAAACACACCCUCAAUGACAUCACUCCCUCUAAUUCACAAGUGCUGUUUGGACAUUAGCACGCUCCACACCGUAACUUCGACAAGCAAUUUCUGCUAUCAUGCAUACAUUUAAAUUUUUUCUGAGUGGACAGAGUACCAUAUGUUGACUUAGGUGAACAUUUCUGGUUUGUGCAAUAUAUUUAGUUGCCGAGUUGAUCGAUUAGAUUUAGAUAGAAAGCGUCCAAAUACGAAGAAAAUUGCUGAGCCAUUAAACUGUUUUCUGGAGAUCAAAGUCACCAAGUAUUCUAUGGAGGGCUCGCAGAAUGGCGCCUGUACAGAAAUGAGUUGACUUUGUGUUGUUAUCCGGCUUGUUUAGUUCGUUGACCUAUUUGUGUUUAUUGAUCCAUAUUUAAAUGUUCUCAAUUCACAGUCAACAGGAGGUUGGAUGAGUGGGUUAAACUUGAACAACCUGCUCUCUCUCACGUUGCUCUUCACCUUUGUUUGAAUUCGUUUUGCAUCGUUUGGUAGAACCGGGAUGAAUUUUGAUUAAGUUGUUUGCCCUUUCUUUGUGUUGUGUUCAAUUUCAUCACUGAUUUCCUUGUUAGUACCACUACUUGUUUCUGCGACUAUUCUAAUUGCAGACGACGACAUCAGCAUCCCUACAGAUCUGAAGCGGCCCAUCCUUAAUGGUUUCUACCGCCAUAUCUACCAACCCCGACCGGAUUUAUCAUUGCAUGGGAUCUCUCCUUAUCCGACGCUCACUCUGACGCAUCUGGCAUAGGUAAGCCACUGGUUCCUCCUCUGGUCACCCUCAUGCUCCGUGUAACCAUGGCCACCGAGUUGUGAUGAUUUUUUUUGUACACGAAUGAGAUAAUUUAUGUGUUCCAAACAUUGUGCACAGAUCAUUCUUAUAUUUGCUUGAAUUGGGAAACCCAAUCAAAUCAUCUUCUUUUGUGCUUCCUAUUUGCUGAUCCAUCGUAUGGGUGUACUGUGUAUGUAUGUAAAGGAGAUGGAGAAAGAUAGGAGUUGUAGCUUUUAGAAAUCUUGGUAUUGAUGGGGAAAGAUAGUGAUCACAGUUUCUUUGUUGGAAAGUGUCCAAACUUUUUUUCCCGGAAAUAUAAAUAUGAAUAAAGACAUUGUAUUUCUGUUACCAAAUAAAAAUCAUCUCCUUUUGUGUUUUUUAUGGCUGAUCCAUUUUAUGGGUGUUUUGUGCUUGCAUGUAAAGGGAAUGGGGAAAGAUGGGAGUACUAGCUUUUAGAAACACAUUUACUUAUUGGAAUUCCAGUAUUAAUGGGGGAAGAUAAUAAUCACUGUGUCCAGGUUAGAAAGCUUCCAAUUACGAAGAAAAUAGCCAGAGCUAUUAAACAUUUUUCUGGAGAUUCAAUUCACCUAUUAUAUUUCUGUUCCUCCGAUACUGCUACGUUCUUUUCAUGAUUGGUAACUACAAGUGUUCCCUUUUUGAUUAACAGAAGUGAUUGCAAAGGAGCUGGAUGUGCAGGGCCAUGGAAUCCCGAUGACAGUGGCCAACAUCACCUACAUAGGCAUGAACGACCUCCAUGCUGUUGGCGGCCUUGGCACGCUACUGUUCUACCUUUAUCUCCUGGAGGUCAAGAUGGAUGUUGACAUUCCCAACACUGUUCAGGGUAAUUCAUUCAUUCAUGCCCCAUACUUGGCAUGCUAUUGUUCUAACUUUAUCUCCUGGAGGUCAAGAUGGAGGUCAAGGUGGAUCGGCAGGAGCUAGAAGUAAG